UACGAAGGGGGCUAGCGUUGCUCGGAAUCACUGGGCGUAAAGGGUGCGUAGGCGGGUCUUUAAGUCAGGGUGAAAUCCUGGAGCUCAACUCCAGAACUGCCUUUGAUACUGAAGAUCUUGAGUUCGGGAGAGGUGAGUGGAACUGCGAGUGUAGAGGUGAAAUUCGUAGAUAUUCGCAAGAACACCAGUGGCGAAGGCGGCUCACUGGCCCGAUACUGACGCUGAGGCACGAAAGCGUGGGGAGCAAACAGGG
rnacentral:rRNA from 1 species